UCUGACAGUAGCAUUCCAUUGCGCUAAACACAGAGUGAAAUCCUGGCCCUACUGAAGUCAUUGGAAGCUUUUCCAUUCAAUGGAGUCAGCCUUUCACCCAUAAUCAGACAGUCGCUGCCUUAAAGAAUGUACAGUCCAAACAGAAAAGAAAAACAAAGGCUGGGUCUCAAGGAUCUUUAACAUGAGUAAAUCUAUGUCAAGUCAAUGGAACUAUGUGGAUUUACGCCAGCUGAGGAUCUGGCUCAGGGCUCCAAAGCAAGACAAAAGUUCUCCAAAAAGGGCUGGCCUAUGGCUCCAUUUCCUCUGCUGUUUUUCUUCACAGUAAUGUCAUUCCACUGUCUUCAAUGGAGUUUCUCCUGAUUUACGUGGCUAUAAGUAAGAGGAGGAUCAAGCUAUCCUGGGAAGCCCCUACAGCAACGUGACUGACCAACUCCCUCACAUCAAGAGUUGUUUGCAUCAAGAGUGGCUUCAGCUACUGGCACAAGUGGGAGCUUUUCUCAGAAGCAAACUGGAAGCCAGCGGAAAAUGUGGAACACUCUUCUGAAGAGCACCCAGGAGCUCUAGUCAAGGACCAGGAUCGCAUUAGGUUCUGUACAGACACCAAACAAAAGAACGGUCCUUACCCCAAAGAGGCUACACUUGGCAAGUGGGGCCUCUUCAUGGAAACAGGCUUUGAAGCACCUAAAUACCUUGGAACAUCUAUUCCCAAGACCACAAGCCCCAACCUUUUUCUAAGCAGCGGCAGCAGGCUAUCAGAGGGGGCACAUCAGGCACCAUGCCAGGAAGGCGAUGAACCUCAACACUGUGCAGCCAAGGCAGGACUGGAGGCAGAAGCACCGUGAUUCCCAGC